AACAAGCAUGAAAGCAGGCUACCAGCAAUUUUGAGAGCUUGCAGAAACAGAUUGCAAGGAAAAUGAAGUUCCCUAUUUUCAUAGCAGAUGCAUUCACAGCAAAAGCAUUUCGUGGGAAUCCUGCUGCUGUUUGCCUCCUAGAAAAUAAAUUGGAUGAAGACAUGCACCAAAAAAUUGCAAAGGAAAUGAAUCUCUCUGAAACUGCUUUUAUCCAAAAACUACACCCAACUGACAACUUUACACAAAGUUCCUGCUUUGGAUUAAGGUGGUUUACACCAGUGAGUGAGGUUCCUCUCUGUGGCCACGCUACCCUGGCUUCUGCAGCUGUGCUGUUUCACAAAAUAAAAAACAUGAAUAGCACCCUAACCUUUGUCACUCUGAGUGGGGAACUAGAGGCCAGAAGAGAAGAGGAUGGUAUCGUCCUGGACCUGCCUCUUUAUCCAGCCCAUCCCCAGGACUUCCAUGAAGUGGAGGAAUUGAUAAAGACUGCCAUAGGUGACACACUGGUUCAGGACAUCCGCUAUUCCCCAGAUACCCGAAAGCUCCUGGUCCGGCUCAGUGAUACUUACAACAGGUCGUUUCUGGAGAGCCUGAAAGUGAACACACAGAAUCUGCCGCAAGUGGAAAACACGGAGAAGGUGAAAGGACUCAUUCUCACCAUCAAGGGAGAGCCUGAUGGGCAGACUCAAGCGUUUGACUUUUACUCCAGAUAUUUCACUCCAUGGUUUGGUGUGGCCGAAGACCCCGUAACAGGGUCUGCACAUACUGUUCUCAGCAGCUACUGGUCCCAGCAACUGGGGAAGAAAACCAUGCACGCCUUUCAGUGUUCCAGCCGGGGAGGAGAAUUGAAGAUUUCCCUGCGUCCUGAUGGACGAGUUGACAUCAAGGGACGUGCUGCUCUUGUUUUAGAGGGCACGCUGACGGCCUAGACGCGCUUGUGCGUGAUGCUGCAAUCUUGACUUACUAUUUUCCACGUAGAAAGAAAUAGACCAUUGAUUGAUGGGAUGGGACUUACAGCAGAGACAGUCAAAACCACAAACCAGUCCUUCGUGUCAGAGAGCAUCAGGAGCCAAGACUGCUGCCAUUUUGUCCGCCAGCCACCGCACACUGUGCGGUCUUGCUCCAGACAUGGAAGCUCCGCCAUCCGUCAACCCAUAGAUGUCUCUGCUGCUGACUCCAGGCUUUCUUGAAGCUGGGCAAGUACAGGGCUUGCAAGCCUGCAGGGUGCAGCCCAACAAUGACAUAGAAUUAAUUCAUAAUCAACUCUCAGUUAUCCUCUGGACGGAUACCUGGGGAUCUCACUCUUCUCACCCUCUCAGCUGGUUUCCCCUCUUCUGUCUCUUACCUGGACCCAUUUCUCUCCUGGUCUCUCCUCAGUCUUUGCUCUUCAUUCCAAGCUGGGGCCUUACUGGGAAGAGUCAGGGUGGGAUGUGGGGGUGUGUUGUUAAUGUGAUAAGAAGUAAUAGAACAGCAUACUCAUAUGUUAACCAGUAGAUGCUCUAUGACUCUCCUCCUUUAAGAGGAUAACCAAAAGUUGACUUUUGCUACUAAGAACUUCCUCCUCAUGGUCAAUGUUAUUUCUUGGUAGUGUUAAAAGAUAAACUGGGGGCUCCCCUGGUGGCGCAGUGGUUAAGA